UACGUAGGGUGCAAGCGUUAAUCGGAAUUACUGGGCGUAAAGCGUGCGCAGGCGGUUAUAUAAGACAGAUGUGAAAUCCCCGGGCUCAACCUGGGAACUGCAUUUGUGACUGUAUAGCUAGAGUACGGUAGAGGGGAUGGAAUUCCGCGUGUAGCAGUGAAAUGCGUAGAUAUGCGGAGGAACACCGAUGGCGAAGGCAAUCCCCUGGACCUGUACUGACGCUCAUGCACGAAAGCGUGGGGAGCAAACAGG
rnacentral:rRNA from 1 species